rnacentral:rRNA from 1 species
AUUAACUGAAUCCAUAGGUUAAUGAGGCGAACCGGGGGAACUGAAACAUCUAAGUACCCCGAGGAAAAGAAAUCAACCGAGAUUCCCCCAGUAGCGGCGAGCGAACGGGGAGCAGCCCAGAGCCUGAAUCAGUGUGUGUGUUAGUGGAAGCGUCUGGAAAGGCGUGCGAUACAGGGUGACAGCCCCGUACACAAAAAUGCACAUAUUGUGAGCUCGAUGAGUAGGGCGGGACACGUGGUAUCCUGUCUGAAUAUGGGGGGACCAUCCUCCAAGGCUAAAUACUCCUGACUGACCGAUAGUGAACCAGUACCGUGAGGGAAAGGCGAAAAGAACCCCGGCGAGGGGAGUGAAAAAGAACCUGAAACCGUGUACGUACAAGCAGUGGGAGCACGCUUAGGCGUGUGACUGCGUACCUUUUGUAUAAUGGGUCAGCGACUUAUAUUCUGUAGCAAGGUUAACCGAAUAGGGGAGCCGAAGGGAAACCGAGUCUUAACUGGGCGUUAAGUUGCAGGGUAUAGACCCGAAACCCGGUGAUCUAGCCAUGGGCAGGUUGAAGGUUGGGU